AUUGAACGCUGGCGGCAUGCCUUACACAUGCAAGUCGAACGGUAACAGGUCUUCGGAUGCUGACGAGUGGCGAAUGGGUGAGUAAUACAUCGGAACGUGCCUAGUAGUGGGGGAUAACUACUCGAAAGAGUGGCUAAUACCGCAUGAGAUCUACGGAUGAAAGCAGGGGAUCGCAAGACCUUGUGCUACUAGAGCGGCAGAUGGCAGAUUAGGUAGUUGGUGGGAUAAAAGCUUACCAAGCCGACGAUCUGUAGCUGGUCUGAGAGGACGAUCAGCAACACUGGGACUGAGACACGGCCCAGACUCCUACGGGAGGCAGCAGUGGGGAAUUUUGGACAAUGGGCGCAAGCCUGAUCCAGCAAUGCCGCGUGCAGGAUGAAGGCCUUCGGGUUGUAAACUGCUUUUGUACGGAACGAAAAGCUCUGGGUUAAUACCCUGGGGUCAUGACGGUACCGUAAGAAUAAGCACCGGCUAACUACGUGCCAGCCGCCGCAGUAACAC
rnacentral:rRNA from 1 species